CUUAAGCUGGGGGUGAGCAGUGGUUAGUUCACCCUUAACCUAGAAGUCUUUGCUAUUUCUAGGGGAGGCUAGGGGCUUAGGGGAGAAGCCUAGGAGGACGUCUUUCUACAAAUUACCCUUGAAUAGAUGCAGUCUUAAUCAUGUAUUCUGAACCCAAGGUCUCCCUCAAUAAAAAAUAAGAAAGGAUUGCAAGAUCAAAAAGUCAACUGGUCUCUCAAGCCCCUAAUAAACUUUGUAGCUGUCUCAGACACUUUUAGUUUAAAAAAAAACAAAAAAACAAAAAACAAGGUUAAACCCCUGGCCAGGUUCUUGCCUCCCAAGUACAGAUAACUGACGCGGGCUGCGUGUGGGAACUCGUCUCCUCUUUGUAUUUUUCAAUUCUUUGCCGGGUUGUAGCAGUUUCCUCUACCUGAGUCCAGCCGCCAAACACAACAGCUUCUUCCUUCCUCCACCCUUCUCUCCUACCAAACUCAGCUUCUUGGAACCCACCCAGAACACCAUUCAGAUGCAAGUGAGUGACGCUUUUAAAGGGCGGCGGGUCUUCUAGGAGUGAAAGGAAUCGGAAAGUCCGGGUUGCGAAGUGAUUUCUAAAGCAACCACAACCGUGUCCUCACGUCUGAGAUUGUUCGGUUGGUCAGAAAGUUCGUUCGGAUUUUUCCAGGAGAUCCUACGGAAAAGCCCAAACGAGCUUUUUGGUCAACCCAGUAUUUCGGCAUUUCUCUGCUCCCUUUUGCAACUUGAAAUUUACCUAACAGUGUGCUCCUGAGCAAGGUGAUGGAAGUUAAAACAGGAUGCACAGGCUGUUACAUCUGAAACAAAGGGUCUUUAACUGCCCUCCCUAUCCUCCUUUUGUUCUGGAACAAAGUUACACAUUUUACUGGAAAGUAAUCUCCGGUUCUAACAGUGCCCAACAGCAAUUGUGCACUACAGUUUUCUUAGGCAUUUAUGCUACAGGUCGAAUGCCCCCACUACUGAAUUGGAGAAGAUGGAGAAGAGGGAAAGAAAAAUUAGGUCAAGGCACCGUAGAACUGCGGGGCAAAUAGUGAGAGGGCAGGCGUCCGCUGUAGUAGCGUCGAAGCGUGAAAAAAAUACGACGGAGUCCCCGAGGGAAGAGAACCCGGAGCUGUGAGCGCCAUCCUCCUGUGGACAGUAGGCGGCGGCUUUAAAAGACUGAGCCCGGGAGAAGAAUUUCCAAUAAACAGCCUAAAGGCGGAGCCUGGGAGAAGACAGAAAGUUACACUCGCGCUGCUCUGAUAAAGGGGGUUCGGCUGCCCCCAAGCCCCAGAAUCUCGUCCUGGGUGAUGUUUUUGUUGUCAGUUUCACUCUUGGUAGUCUUCUCCUUAGAGCUGAGAAGUGGCUCAUAAGCCACCCAAGAUUUGUGUGUGUCCUUUAACAGCUUAGGAGAGAGACGAAGACCAAAAUUACUUAAAGGAAAACACCUGUGUGGUAGCCGAAUGUCCCGGCGGGGCGGCUCAGCAAGCUCGCCUCCCAGGUGCAGUUCCUCGCAGGGGGGAAGUCAGGCAGCCCCCAAAACUUCUGCGAAGGCGCACGCUUCCUGGCCCCAUUGCCCCUCCCACCUCGAGCACACGAUUUUAAUCCUUCCUCGAGGAUGCUUACGGUGAGGCGACGCUCGCUCAAUUUCACUAUGCUCCUAAACCGACACAUUUUUAGAGUUUGGAAAUUUCACAGUCUGUUUCUGACCCUUUUAAUUCAAUUUAAUAAAUACUUACUGAGCAUUUUCUAUUAAU
rnacentral:lncRNA from 1 species